CUAGCUGCUUGGAGGAUGUCAUGUCAUUGGAGGAAUGGACACACAUCCGACAGGAGAGCGUGGCCCCCAGAGGCAGACAGGGGAUUGUCAGCAGAGUUCCAUCUCUACCGGAUGACAUCGUUAUCACUGAAAAGGUUUUAAUCCUGGAGGAGACCAUGGAGACUGUGCAGUAGGAGCCAAAGGUGUUACAUGCACCCCAUGUUAUUUGAAAGAAUGGUUAGUACUGCUUGCCAAACUGACCGCUGGGUGCCAAAGUCCUUGUGAUGUGUUAGAGAAGAGAACCACCUGGACCAUCACUCCAGAGCUGAAGGCCCAGCUAGACUGUGCUCACGUCCGUCUGUAAACGACCAAGUCUGGCCACUUUCCAGCACAGAUCAUUGAGGAGCUGACUGAGAGUGAGAGUAAGGACCUGGACUCACUGUAUGAGCCUACGAGAAGCAGCUCAGAAUCACAAUCGUCACAGUGCGAGCCAGGAGUUUCUAUCGAAGAGUGUGUGCAAGAAGCAAAAUACAUUGUCUUCGAUAGCAAACUGACAGAGCUGAUUAAUGUCUGCCAUGAGCCAGGAUGUAGGGUGUCCAAUAAAAAACGCAUAUUUUGACCAAUGGGUAAAAUAAUAUGUUAAUUGUGUAGAUAAUCCUCUAAGAAAACCAAUGGU